UAGCAACCGGGCCGCCACGCCUGCCGCCGUGGGGCACGAUGGGAGCGUAGUUCCAUGGGCGGGGCCUGCGCGACGUUGGAGCCUCGACUACAUUUCCCCUAAGGCCGUGCGCCUUGGAAGACCCUUUAUGGAAAGAGCUCCAGUCCCUACCUUCAGUCCGUAUCCUGGGAACGGAAGCUGUUGGAGAGCCUUUUGAGGUGCUGCUUGGCAGGAGUCUGACAAUAGCCAAGGACAAGGAAAUGGACUUUAGGAAGGAAUCUGACAUUGGCCAUGACAAAGAAGAUACUGACCAUCUGCAAGAAACAAGCAACCUGUUCUUUGUACCACCAACAGUAUUUGAUGUCGUUAAUUGACUAUAUUAUUUUCUCUUAGCAAUUGUUAGGGACCAGCUUACUAUGUAACCAGAGAUGACCUUGCACUUGAGAUCUUCUGCUUCCACCUCUGAAGUACUGGAAUUAGAUUUUGAGGUUUCCAUAUCUGAAGAGUGAAUUGUUUAGCAUUUCCUGUUGCCUGAAUCAAUUCAAAAUUAGGUCACUAGCCUGGGGUCUAUAAUAAGACCUGUCAGAGAAGGGGAGGGGAGCAGAAAGAAAGGA